rnacentral:tRNA from 1 species
GCGGGCGUAGUUCAGCUGGUUAGAGCGUCAGAUUGUGGUUCUGAAAGUCGUGGGUUCGAGUCCCAUCGCCCGCCCC